GAUGAACGCUGGCGGUAUGCUUAACACAUGCAAGUCGAACGGUAACAGGCCUUCGGGCGCUGACGAGUGGCGGACGGGUGAGUAACGCGUAGGAAUCUGCCUCAUAGUGGGGGACAACGUGUGGAAACGCACGCUAAUACCGCAUACGCCCUGCGGGGGAAAGCGGGGGACCUUCGGGCCUCGCGCUAUGAGAUGAGCCUGCGUUAGAUUAGCUAGUUGGUAGGGUAAAGGCCUACCAUGGCGACGAUCAAUAGCUGGGCUGAGAGGACGAUCAGCGUGAGGGGGAAUGGGAGACGGACCAGAGUCCUACUGGAGGCAGGAGUGGGGAAUAUUGGAGAAUGGGAGCAAGGCUGAGCCAGCAAUAGCGAGUGUGUGAAGAAGGCCCUAGGGUUGUAAAGCACUUUCAAUAGGGAGGAAAACCUGUCGGUGGAUACCCGGCAGCUUGACAUUACCUAUACAAGAAGCACCGGCUAACUCCGUGCCAGCCGCCGCUGUAAUAG
rnacentral:rRNA from 1 species